rnacentral:rRNA from 1 species
GCGGCAGGCCUAAUACAUGCAAGUCGAACGGAAGCCUUCGGGCUUUAGUGGCAAACGGGUGCGUAACGCGUAAGCAACCUGCCCCUGACUGGGGGAUAGCCCGGCGAAAGCGGGGGUAAGCCCGCACGGUCCCUUUUUCUCACCUGAGAGCAAGGGUAAAGAUUUAUCGGUCAGGGAGGGGCUUGCGUCUGAUUAGCUAGUUGGCAGGGUAACGGCCUACCAAGGCGAUGAUCAGUAGGGGUUCUGAGAGGAUUGGCCCCCACAUGGGUACUGAGAGACGGACCCAACUCCUACGGGAGACAGCAGUAGGGAAUAUUGGGCAAUGGGCGAGAGCCUGACCCAGCCAUGCCGCGUGAAGGAUGAAGGCGCUCAGCGUUGUAAACUUCUUUUAUCAGGGAAGAACGGUAGUCCUGCGGGAUUGCGUGACGGUACCUGAGGAAUCAGCACCGGCUAACUCCGUGCCAGCAGCCGCGGUAAUACGGAGGGUGCAAGCGUUGUCCGGAUUUAUUGGGUUUAAAGGGUGCGUAGGUGGCCUGUUAAGUCUGGUUUGAAAGCGGGUGGCUCAACCAUCCGAUGUGGCUGGAAACUGGGGGGCUUGAAUGAAUUGGCGGUAGCCGGAACGGGUCAUGUAGCG